UUCAGCAAAGAGUUACCCAAUACUAUGUUCUAGAUGAUAUAUGUCACUUAAAGCAAGAUAAUUUUAUAUACCCUAGAUCAUUUAAUCAUACAUAUCUGGGCGUUGGAGUAUAAUAUUUUCUAUAAAAAAAGAUGUAAGCAGAAAAUACAAUAUUUUUUUUAUUUAAAGAUUUUUUUUUAACAUGUUAACAUAUUCAACUUGUUAAUUUUGAAAGGAUUCAAUGAGAGGGUUCAAUGGUUAAUUUUUUGAAAAGACACAACUCAUUAAGGAAUAAAAAUGUCUCUACUUAAGUGAUUGAAUUUUAUAAGGUUCUUGUUGUGAAAUGGUUCAAUGGCUAAGCUUUUGAAAAUAUACAACCUUUCGGUUAUGAAGCAUG
rnacentral:lncRNA from 1 species